GACGGAGGAUGCAAGCGUUAUCCGGAAUGACUGGGCGUAAAGGGUCCGCAGGCGGCAGUUCAAGUCUGCUGUGAAAGACCGGGGCUUAACUUCGGAAAGGCAGUGGAAACUGAACAGCUAGAGUAUGGUAGGGGCAGAGGGAAUUCCUGGUGUAGCGGUGAAAUGCGUAGAGAUCAGGAAGAACAUCGGUGGCGAAGGCGCUCUGCUGGACCAUAACUGACGCUCAGGGACGAAAGCUAGGGGAGCGAAUGGG
rnacentral:rRNA from 1 species